GCCCAAUCCUCUUCCUCCGCAAACCUAGAGCGUGUGGAGGCCGACGCCGGGGUCAAAGCCGAAGCAGCAGAGCAGCAACUUGGAGGAGCCAGUGCCGGGUGAGAGGAGGUGCUGCAAGAGCACGUCCCGGAGGAGGCCGGCAGAGCGGGCGGCGAGGGGAACCGUCCCUCCUCGAUUUGGUCGGCGGCCGGCCUCGUUUGGAGGAGCAGCCGUGCUCGUCCGGAGGAGGGCGACGAGGGUCGUGGCAGCGGCGCCCGAGGCCGCGUGAAGCAGCAGCAGGUUGAGGUCGAGGCAGCGGCGGCGAUGCCGGCCGCGGCGGACGCGAAGGUGGAGACGCGCCUGGCCGAGGUUUUUGUGGGGCGGGAGUGCAGGUAAGCCGGCCGCACGCGACCUCGCGCGGCACUUGCGACGGCUGGACGACUCCGCUCAAAAGCAAGAAGGUUGCCGCUGACCAUCAUCCCAGUUCCCAGGCGACCACUAGCAUGAAAGGGGCAAAGCACUUGCCUCUACCUCAGAUUUAUUGUCUCAAAGAUGAUAAGAGAGAUGCGGUGUGAGCAGUAUUGUUUAUGAGUGUAGCUUUACUGCACUCUCAAAAAAAGGAGUAGCAUCACCAAGACAGUUCUGGGCAUGAGUGAAACAAAGCCUUACAUAGAAUUGCCUUUGUGGAGCGCAUCUUGGAAGAGGUGGAGGUGUGCGGAUCGAGCCGGAUGGGGUGGCCACCGUGGCACGCGGGCGAAGGAGGAGCUCAAGGAGCACGUCCCAGAAGAGGGCAUCAGCGGUGGCACGCCAAUCGACUACACCGCAUCCUGGGCCUCGAGAUCUUCUCCAGCAAGACCAGGGGGGCUUCCAUGGCAAGAAACAUGGUCAAUGACUCCAGGGUGACGUGGAGCUCCAGGCCAAGGUAACGAGCAAAUUCUUCUUCGAGGUUGAGAUCGGCGGGAAGCGUGUGGGCAAGGUGGUCAUCGGGCUCUUCGGCGAGGUCGUCCCAAAGAUGAUUGACAACUUCCGUGCCCUGUGCACUGGAGAAAAAGGGGAUGUAUACAAGGGCUGCUACUUCCACCGAAUCAUCAAAUGAUUUCAUGAUUCAGGGUGGGGAUUUUGCAGGAAAACAAUGUCUGAAGAGCAUUAGUGGCCUCUGUUCAGCCUUUUCUCUUCAUCUAUUCGGCAGCCGCUGUUGGUGGACAACGGCGGCCUCAGGUGGUGCAUGGUGGGUCCUGCCAAGUCACCGACACGAUUUCUCCCACGCAGGUGACUGGCGGCUCGGCAACGCCGCGACCAUUGAGCCGAAGGUGGCUGAGCGCCAGAGCUCCCAGCUUAGGAAGACGAUGCGACGGGAUGGCGCAGCACCACGGCCUUCAGCACCCUUGCCGUUAGCAGCCUGCCCCUGUCAUAAGUCCUCUCGCGACCUGUUGGUUCUUCUGCUCCAGGACGAGGUGGUCAUCUUGCUAGGUUUCGGAGCCCUGUGGGCCUCUUUGCCGCUCGUCCUCGUCACCCUCUCUGCACCAGCAUCUCGCUUCCUUCUUGCUUCCAGUCAGGAUGGGAGGCUUCUAUUUAGGAGGCGCUCAUGGUACUAGGUCUCCAUAGACCUGGCCGUUUCAGAAUGGGAACAAGGUAAUAACGCUCCUUAUGAAAAAAAACACAUAAUAUUGCUUUGGGUCCUGUUGUAGCCACAUUUGUGUUAUGGCCAAAACAUACCAUUUCUUUGUUACAAGUAAGCUUCAUUUCCACCAUAAAAACUACUUGUUUGGUAUGAAAAUGAAACCAUGAGCAGUAUAUCUCUCGAUGGGUGAAAUUUGGCAAAUGUAGCAAUUUCCUUGGUCGUGCAAAAUUUGUUGCUGGUGCUUGUGUAAUGAUGUUUAUUAAACUAUGGGAAAGAUAAAUACAACAUUGCAUUUUUAAAGAAAUGAUCAUGUAAAUAUCAAUAGCGGUGAAUUAAUGGCAAGCUGUUUUUGUACUUUAUUUAUCAAAACAGUCCAGUUCUAAGCUCGCUUCUAUAUUAUAUGUAUAUUUAUACUUUUGUAUUAGAAACGAGAUUGGUUCUUUAGUUGAAGCCACAACAACUACUAAGACACCGAUAUUAGAUUGUACUAGCAUUUUCUUACCAUAUAUAGCUAAACAAAGAAUUCGAUGCAGGGAACCUUUGGCUUUAGUCUUUAGUAAGGUAAAAGGAGUUGAGCUGUCAUCAUACCGACCACACUCUUUCUAUGGUAGAGGGAAACCUUGUUGUUUUUCGUUACUCAAUUUCUAACUUAAUUAGCUGGAUUUAGAAUUGUUUGUUCAUCUAGCUAGGAGUAUAGUUUGCACUGCGCAUCGUUCAUGGUUUUGUGACUCAUGUUAUUUGGAUUGCAGUUGUCCAGGAGAUCCAUUUCCCCUUAUUUUGAGGCAAUUUAUUUUUGUGUGUGCUUUUAAUUGUUAUUUCAGUCAUCUGUUGUACCGUCUACCUACGUAUACCCGCUUGACAAAACUGUAUGUUAUGUUCUGCUCUGCUAUUGCUGCCAUUGACUUCCACCUGUACCUAAGGGGCAAAACUGAAGAUCAAAUUAAGGCCGGUCAAUGAGGAGAAAAAGGAAGUGGUUUGAUCAACUAUUGUUGUCUUGCUGAGGCUACUAUUGUGAGAUCAUGAAUGCUCUCUUUACACUCAGAGUUUGUACACAAUAAGAUUAUAUCUACUAUGGAAACUGGAGAAUAAGUGUCAAAACAGUUUUGGUCAGGAAACCGAUUGAUGAUUUGGUAUAUUACAUAGGCCCUGUUUGUCACGUUCUUCCAGUUUAUGGCCUCUUUGUGAUGCCUUUUUUUCCCUUUGCCCUCUAUAAUUGAUGUAUUAAUACUCUAC